GGAGAUAGCUCAGUGUUAGAGUGCCUGCCUCGCAUGCACAGGGUCCUGGAUUCAAUCCCCAGUACCUCCA
rnacentral:tRNA from 1 species